rnacentral:tRNA from 1 species
UCUGGUAAAGAGAAGGUUCAAACUUCCCUGGGCAGAUUUACAGUCCGCCGCCUAAACUCGGCCACUUUACCU